CGGCCGAUGGGCGAUUGGUCGAUGUUGAUGACUUUGUCGAAGUGAUCCAGUCCUUCGAUGCGUUCGUAGGCGGCGGGGUCGUCGCCGGCGCGGUUGA
rnacentral:tRNA from 1 species